GACACUUGACCCACACCCCCUGAACCGAAGGGACGUGCACUUCACGACCGUCUGUACCUGGCCAGCGCGGAAAAUGGCCGACUGAAGGGUAAAGUAUUUUUGGAUGAAUGCAGGGUUUCAUGGGGAGCUGAUGAGAAAAGACUGGCUGUCCAGAAUGGACAAGUUCCAACAGCAGCAUAAGGUAAAAUGUUUGCCUGCUAAUUGGAGUAACUGGAUUGAUCCUUUGUGCAAUAUCCAGUUACAGUGUUUUUCGCCAACACCAACAUGGCCCUGAGACAUCUACAUAGGACACAUCACCAGACAUCAGCAAUACCAGGAGGGAUGAGCUGGAGUUCCAAUGAGAAAUGCAGUGCGGAAAGUAACUGAAAUACUUUCCCCCAUGGAUUGUAUUUUCCAAAUGGACAAUCUACCCUAAAUGCUCAAUUACUGAGGGACAAUCUACACUCAUUUCUAUAUUUGCUUUCUACAACCAUCUCUCUGUAUAACUUUUCAUGAAUGAUGUACCCGAGUAUUCGGAUUCUAAUAUUUAAACUGUAUUGUUAAAUUUAUUCACCCUAAUUUGGGUUAUUGCUGAUAAUGCACGAUAUGUAUUUUAUGACUUUAAAAACAAACUUUGUAUUUGUGGAUAAUCUAAGCACU